GGGGAAUUUUCCGCAAUGGGCGAAAGCCUGACGGAGCAAUACUGCGUGAGGGAUGACGGCCUAUGGGUUGUAAACCUCUUUUAUCAGGGAGGAAUCAAUGACGUGUACCUGAUGAAUAAGCAUCGGCUAACUCCGUGCCAGCAGCCGCGGUAAGACGGAGGAUGCAAGUGUUAUCCGGAAUCACUGGGCGUAAAGCGUCUGUAGGUGGUCUAAUAAGUCAACUGUUAAAUCUUGAGGCUCAACCUCGAAAUCGCAGUCGAAACUAUUAGACUAGAGUAUAGUAGGGGUAAAGGGAAUUUCCAGUGGAGCGGUGAAAUGCGUAGAGAUUGGAAAGAACACCGAUGGCGAAGGCACUUUACUGGGCUAUUACUAACACUGAGAGACGAAAGCUAGGGUAGCAAAUGGGAUUAGAUACCCCAGUAGUC
rnacentral:rRNA from 1 species